rnacentral:rRNA from 1 species
GACGAACUGUGCAAACGUUAUUCGGAAUCACUGGGCUUGAAGAGUGCGUAGGCGGUUUCGUAAGUAGGGUGUGAAAGCCCCCAGCUCAACUGGGGAACUGCGUCCUAAACUGCGAGGCUGGAGUGAGGUAGGGGUGUGUGGAACUUCCGGUGGAGCGGUGAAAUGUGUUGAUAUCGGAAGGAACGCCGGUGGCGAAAGCGACACACUGGGCCUUGUCUGACGCUGAGGCACGAAAGCCAGGGGAGCAAACAGG